rnacentral:rRNA from 1 species
AUUGAACGCUAGCGGCAUGCCUUACACAUGCAAGUCGAACGAGUGGCGGACGGGUGAGCAAUAUAUCGGCACGUGCCCAGUAGAGGGGGAUAACUAAUCGAAACAGUGGCUACUACCGCUUACUAUUGGAGCGGCCGAUAUCGGAUUAGCUACUUGGUGGGGUAAAGGCUCACCAAGGCAACGAUCCGUAGCUGGUUUGAGAGGACGACCAGCCACACUGGGACUGAGACACGGCCAAGACUCCUACGGGAGGCAGCAGUGGGGAAUAUUGGACAAUGGGCGAAACCCUGAUCCAGCCAGGCCGCGUGUGUGAGAAGGCCUUCGGGUUGUAAAGUACUUUUGUCAGAGAAGCGGUAUCUGAAGAAUAAGCACCGGCUAACUACGUGCCAGCAGCCGCGGUAAUAC